ensembl:lincRNA Gm26671 predicted gene, 26671
GAUUUGUUCCAGAACCAACUUGAGGGAACACUUAACUGGGCCAUUGCUAACGACCCAAAGCCUUUCCUGGUGGCUGCCUUAACUCAUCGCUGGACCCUAGGGACAGAGAGUUAAGAUAUGUGAAAUCUGUUGGAGAGGCGUUGUGAGUGGGAGACACAGCCUUUGGCAUCAGGCAUCCGUCCUUCUUGCUCAUUUACAGCGUGAUCUUGAUUGAGCCUCAAGCAAAUUUUGUAACUUGCCUGGGUCCCUUUGAAGUCGUUGUGAUGAUAUUUACCUCUGGGAAUGAUUUCCAGACAUCAAUGAGGGGGAAAAGGAAUCAGGCACACGUACGUUCGUGCUUUCCUGGCAGGAAUUUUACAAUCAAGAUACAUGCUUACCCAGCGGACUGAUGACUGAUGCUUUAAAGAAUUCCUCGGACCACAUGUGGAGACACGGAAGGUGACAGAAUAGUCUGAAGCAUGCACACUGCCUAGGGAGGCGCAUCAACACUCCAGCUAAGAGAUGCUAAUGGCUACUACUGCACAGAGGUAUCAUACAGAAGGUGAGAAAUGGAUGCCUGAUAGAACAGUAGAAGCAGCGUUCAGGUGACUCGCUGAAGAGUUAGAGACAGAACAGGAAGAAAGGGAAGAAUCAAAACCAGCUCCCAGGUUUUGCCCCGUGUCUUGGGCAGCUUAGUGCCCCCAUUUCUCCAAUGGUACAGCUUGAAUACUUCAAAGUAAAAAUAGUUGGCUAGAGGCUUUCUCUACGUGAGGUUAUAAAUGAGGCAGUCUGAACAAGAUAAAAUAGAUUCUAUUCAAAACAGCAAAAGAGUUUCCAAAGCCCCUGAAGUAAAUGAAAGAAUACUGUGGUGCUUUAAAUGAAAUAUCCAUAAUACUUUCUGAAAUUGGAAUACUUGGUCCCUAGUUGAUGAUGCUGUUUGGGCGGGUUUAGGAGGCAUAUGACCUUGCUGAGGGAAGUAUGUCACCAAGAGCGGGCACUCCCAGUGCACUCUUUGCCUACUUCCUGCUUCUGGCUUAAAAUGGAAGCCCUCGUCCUCAGCCUGCUCACUGUCAUGCUUCCCCACACAGUGAUGGACUUUUCUCUAGAACUAUAAGCCCGCCACGUAUGUUCUUUUUCCUGAAAGUUUCAGGUGUUUUUUUCAGAUAACUUAAAAGAGC